rnacentral:rRNA from 1 species
AGAAUCAACGCUGGCGGCGUGCCUAACACAUGCAAGUCGAACGCGAAAGUCCCGCAAGGGAUGAGUAGAGUGGCAAACGGGUGAGUAACACGUGGGUGACCUGCCUUCGAGCGGGGGAUAACGUCCCGAAAGGGACGCUAAUACCGCAUGACAUCCCGCCUUUGAAGAGGUGGAGAUCAAAGCUGGGAUCGCAAGACCUAGCAACUUGAAGAGGGCCCGCGUCUGAUCAGCUAGUUGGUGGGUAACGCUCACCAAGGCAACGAUCAGUA